rnacentral:rRNA from 1 species
AGUUAAGUGACUAAGCGUACAAGGUGGAUGCCUUGGCAAUCAGAGGCGAAGAAGGACGUGCUAAUCUGCGAAAAGCUUGGAUGAGUCGAUAAGAGGCGUUUAAUCCAAGAUGUCCGAAUGGGGAAACCCAGUAGAUGAAGAAUCUACUAUCACUGACUGAAUACAUAGGUAAGUGAGGCAAACCGGGAGAACUGAAACAUCUAAGUACCCCGAGGAAAAGAAAUCAACCGAGAUUUCGUUAGUAGCGGCGAGCGAACGCGAAGGAGCCUGUUAGUGAUAAUGACAGAGACAGAGGAACAAGCUGGGAAGCUUAGCGACACAGGGUGAUAGCCCCGUACUCGAAGUCCAGGUCAUGGUACUAAGCUAACGAUAAGUAGGGCGGGACACGUGAUAUCCUGUUUGAAGAUGGGGGGACCAUCCUCCAAGGCUAAAUACUCCUGAUUGACCGAUAGUGAACCAGUACUGUGAAGGAAAGGCGAAAAGAACCCCGGUGAGGGGAGUGAAAUAGAACCUGAAACCUUGUACGUACAAGCAGUGGGAGCCCUUUAAGGGUGACUGCGUACCUUUUGUAUAAUGGGUCAGCGACUUAUAUUUUGUAGCGAGGUUAACCGAAUAGGGGAGCCGAAGGGAAACCGAGUCUUAACUGGGCG